rfam:Triticum aestivum genome assembly, contig: Triticum_aestivum_CS42_TGACv1_scaffold_113030_2AS
GCCAGGAAUAGGAAGAAAAGAGGGUCUAAGAGCGGUGGACAUGGGAACAUGGAGGAAAGAAAAAAAAGUUCAUCCCUCUAGAAAUAGAGGUUGUGAUUUGUUUCGCAUUUUCCCAAUGCCUCCCAUGACUAUUGUUCUCAGAUGCUCCUUCCUCUUCCUUUCGACU